rnacentral:snRNA from 1 species
AUACUCUGGUUUCUCUUCAGAUCGUAUAGAUCUUUCGCGUUUUACUACAGUUUUCCAUGGAGAGGAACAGUUAUGAGUUUGUAAGCAAUUUUUUGAGGUCCUACUUUGGUGGGGUU